AUGAACACUUGGGAUCAUCGCUGCCAUGCGGCCCCGGUUCCUGCCCCGUCGACUUCAAUCCCCACCUCAUUCCUCUCCUCACGUCUCGCCGCCGCCUCGUCUCCUCCUCCUCGUCCGCCUCAACGCGCCUCGACCUACUUCGUCCACCGAAUGCUCGUACGGCUGCGGCAGUUAGGGACGUCGUUGUCUUUGCACGGCCUCUCAAAUCCCUGGAUCUUGGGGUGCGGAGCCCUUUUUCGCCAUCCAAGGAAGUUUCUUCGACAGAAACAUGCGGCUCAGGGCGACGGCGAUGACGGCGGCUGCUGCCGUGCGAAGCGCGGCGAGCUUCUUCUGCAGGCAAACCGCCGCGCCUAA
rnacentral:rRNA from 1 species